GGCUUUUCCUCUCGAUCUACAUUCCCAAUUCAUUCCCACUUGGCCACAUACAUUGUAUGCUUGCGAACUUGAAUUCUCCUCGUCCUGCUUGGUUGGAAAUUAGACGAGUGCGCUUUCACUCGAUCAAACGGCAACCUGCUCGCAGUCAACUCAAGUUGCAUAAUGGCUCCACCAAGCAGAAAAUCAAUGGCCUACAAGGAAGUUCCGAUUAUCAGUCAAAGAAAAUAUUUGUAAACAUGGACACAACUUGUGUUGAGCUCGGAGAGCCCCCGCUAAAAAUGCAGCCAACUGAAUCCGGGCCUGACUGCACUGAGUGAAAAA